rnacentral:rRNA from 1 species
AGUGAACGCUGGCGGUAGGCCUAACACAUGCAAGUCGAGCGGCAGCACAGUAAGAGCUUGCUCUUACGGGUGGCGAGUGGCGGACGGGUGAGGAAUACAUCGGAAUCUACUUUUUCGUGGGGGAUAACGUAGGGAAACUUACGCUAAUACCGCAUACGACCUACGGGUGAAAGCAGGGGAUCUUCGGACCUUGCGCGAUUGAAUGAGCCGAUGUCGGAUUAGCUAGUUGGCGGGGUAAAGGCCCACCAAGGCGACGAUCCGUAGCUGGUCUGAGAGGAUGAUCAGCCACACUGGAACUGAGACACGGUCCAGACUCCUACGGGAGGCAGCAGUGGGGAAUAUUGGACAAUGGGCGCAAGCCUGAUCCAGCCAUACCGCGUGGGUGAAGAAGGCCUUCGGGUUGUAAGCCCUUUUGUUGGGAAAGAAAAGCAGCAGGUUAAUACCCCGCUGUUCUGACGGUACCCAAAGAAUAAGCACCGGCUAACUUCGUG